rnacentral:tRNA from 1 species
GGGGAUGUGCCCAAGGGGAUCAGGGGGGGGGUUUGGGAACCCCCC